rnacentral:misc_RNA from 1 species
AAAGUCGUAACAAGGUUUCCGUAGGUGAACCUGCGGAAGGAUCAUUAAUGUGCCGGGGGCCCUCCGGGGUCCCAUUGUGCCACCCGUGUUUACUUGUACCUGUUGCUUCGGCGGGCCUGCGGGCCUCGCUCGCUGCCGGGGGACCUGGUCCCCGGGCGCGUGCCCGCCGGAGACACACCCAACCUCUCUAACGGAUACGUCUGAGCAAUGAUCUAAUCAUUAAAACUUUCAACAACGGAUCUCUUGGUUCCC